GGCUUGCAGCGUUACGACACCUUCAAAUAGCAGGGGAUUGAAAAUCCCCGUGUCGGCGGUUCGAUUCCGUCCCGAGCCA
rnacentral:tRNA from 1 species